rnacentral:tRNA from 1 species
AAGACACUAGUAAAAAGCCAUUACAAUGCCUUGUCAAGGCAUAAUUGCGGGUUAAACCCCCGCGUGUCUUG